CUCAACCAUAGAAUUGCCAUUGAUACUGUUGUUCUUGAGUGUUUAUGAAGUGGUUAGAAUAUGUGGUGUAGCGGUGAAAUGCAUAGAUAUCACAUGGAAUACCGAUUGCGAAGGCAGAUCACUAAUAAAAUACUGACGCUGAUGGACGAAAGCGUAGGUAGCGAACAGGAUUAGAUACCCUGGUAGUCUACGCCGUAAACGAUGGUUACUAGCUGUUCGGCCGUAAGGCUGAGUGGCUAAGCGAAAGUGAUAAGUAACCCACCUGGGGAGUACGUUCGCAAGAAUGAAACUCAAAGGAAUUGACGGGGGCCCGCACAAGCGGUGGAGCAUGUGGUUUAAUUCGAUGAUACGCGAGGAACCUUACCAGGGCUUAAAUGUAGUCUGACAGGUCUGGAAACAGAUCCUUCUUCGGACAG
rnacentral:rRNA from 1 species